UAUUUAUGCUAAUUCACAGAAUUUGAUACUGUUUAAAUAGCACAAUUUUUGUCAUAUAUCUAACAAUUUAGCGCUGGCAAUGGCAAUAACAUUUCGCUCAUAUAACUCAACGUUUUGCUCCGUUUUCGCUUUCUUGUUUAAUGUUUGAGUGUCAUGCUAUGCUUCCUACAAUUUUCUUUUUUAUCUGUUUUGAUUUUUCUUUUGUAUUUCUUGCAAGGAAAUUCACAAAUCAAACUGGUUUACAGACAGCUGAACAGGGUUACAUACGAACGAUAUCUGAACAGCUAGAGGGACAAGUGAACCGAAACUAUGGCGGAGAGCGCGAUCUAGAAAUCUCAUCACAAGAAUAUGAAAGACUUAACAUAUACGUAAAUGAUGCAGGAGACAUCUACCAGCAACUUAAUGCUGACCAAACUGGCAAGGCUCGUUUAAAGAAUAUUACUGGUAACGAGCACAUUUAUGAACAGACCAGUCGACAAAAGUGACUGUUCUUCCAACAUACCCAAGCAAACUUAUGCUGUAUGUGACGAAUGAAAUCUCACAAGAUUAUGCAUAUAACGAUGUUGCCUGACACUUUCUUUAACACUUUCUUUUAAGCAAAAGAUAUUCUUGUGCUUGAACGUCUCUUAGUGUGUGAUCAUAUUUUAUACAAUGUUAACUGUGGGACACAAAAGUGUCAUAUAGUGGCAAAUCAUGUAAAUCUCGUGUUACUAAUUGAUAUUUACUAAAGUAUAA